rnacentral:rRNA from 1 species
GAGUGGGGGGGUGCUUACCAUGCAAGUCGAACGAUGAAGCCCUUCGGGGUGGAUUAGUGGCGAACGGGUGAGUAACACGUGGGCAAUCUGCCCUUCACUCUGGGACAAGCCCUGGAAACGGGGUCUAAUACCGGAUAACACUUUCUUCCUCCUGGGGGAAGGUUGAAAGCUCCGGCGGUGAAGGAUGAGCCCGCGGCCUAUCAGCUAGUUGGUGGGGUAAUGGCCUACCAAGGCGACGACGGGUAGCCGGCCUGAGAGGGCGACCGGCCACACUGGGACUGAGACACGGCCCAGACUCCUACGGGAGGCAGCAGUGGGGAAUAUUGCACAAUGGGCGAAAGCCUGAUGCAGCGACGCCGCGUGAGGGAUGACGGCCUUCGGGUUGUAAACCUCUUUCAGCAGGGAAGAAGCGAAAGUGACGGUACCUGCAGAAGAAGCGCCGGCUAACUACGUGCCAGCAGCCGCGGUAAUACGUAGGGCGCAAGCGUUGUCCGGAAUUAUUGGGCGUAAAGAGCUCGUAGGCGGCUUGUCACGUCGGUUGUGAAAGCCCGGGGCUUAACCCCGGGUCUGCAGUCGAUACGGGCAGGCUAGAGUGUGGUAGGGGAGAUCGGAAUUCCUGGUGUAGCGGUGAAAUGCGCAGAUAUCAGGAGGAACACCGGUGGCGAAGGCGGAUCUCUGGGCCAUUACUGACGCUGAGGACGAAAGCGUGAGGGGAACAACAAAAAAAAAAAAA